CGAAGCAACGCGAAGAACCUUACCUAAGCUUGACAUCCCAAUGACAUCUCCUUAAUCGGAGAGUUCCCUUCGGGGACAUUGGUGACAGGUGGUGCAUGGUUGUCGUCAGCUCGUGUCGUGAGAUGUUGGGUUAAGUCCCGCAACGAGCGCAACCCUUGUCUUUAGUUGCCAUCAUUAAGUUGGGCACUCUAGAGAGACUGCCAGGGAUAACCUGGAGGAAGGUGGGGAUGACGUCAAAUCAUCAUGCCCCUUAUGCUUAGGGCUACACACGUGCUACAAUGGGUAGUACAGAGGGUUGCCAAGCCGUAAGGUGGAGCUAAUCCCUUAAAGCUACUCUCAGUUCGGAUUGUAGGCUGAAACUCGCCUACAUGAAGCUGGAGUUACUAGUAAUCGCAGAUCAGAAUGCUGCGGUGCAUGCGUUCCCGGGUCUUGUACACACCGCCCGUCACCCCACGGGAGUUGGAGACGCCCGAAGCCGAUUAUCUAACCUUUUGGAAGAAGUCGUCGAAGGUGGAAGCAAUAACUGGGGUGAAGUCGUAACAAGGUAGCCGUAUCGGAAGGUGCGGCUGGAUCACCUCCUUUCUAAGGA
rnacentral:rRNA from 1 species